CGCCAGACUCCUACGGGAGGCAGCAGUGGGGAAUAUUGCACAAUGGGGGAAACCCUGAUGCAGCGACGCCGCGUGAGUGAAGAAGUAUUUCGGUAUGUAAAGCUCUAUCAGCAGGGAAGAAAAUGACGGUACCUGACUAAGAAGCCCCGGCUAACUACGUGCCAGCAGCCGCGGUAAUACGUAGGGGGCAAGCGUUAUCCGGAUUUACUGGGUGUAAAGGGAGCGUAGACGGCAUGGCAAGUCAGAUGUGAAAGCCCGGGGCUCAACCCCGGGACUGCAUUUGAAACUGUCAGGCUGGAGUGCAGGAGAGGUAAGUGGAAUUCCUAGUGUAGCGGUGAAAUGCGUAGAUAUUAGGAGGAACACCAGUGGCGAAGGCGGCUUACUGGACUGUAACUGACGUUGAGGCUCGAAAGCGUGGGGAGCAAACAGGAUUAGAUACCCUUGUAC
rnacentral:rRNA from 1 species